rnacentral:rRNA from 1 species
CUGCCCUGCGGCGUGCCUAUACAUGCAGUUGAGCGCUGAAGGUUGGUACUUGUACCGACUGGAUGAGCAGCGAACGGGUGAGUAACGCGUGGGGAAUCUGCCUUUGAGCGGGGGACAACAUUUGGAAACGAAUGCUAAUACCGCAUAACAACUUUAAACACAAGUUUUAAGUUUGAAAGAUGCAAUUGCAUCACUCAAAGAUGAUCCCGCGUUGUAUUAGCUAGUUGGUGAGGUAAAGGCUCACCAAGGCGAUGAUACAUAGCCGACCUGAGAGGGUGAUCGGCCACAUUGGGACUGAGACACGGCCCAAACUCCUACGGGAGGCAGCAGUAGGGAAUCUUCGGCAAUGGACGAAAGUCUGACCGAGCAACGCCGCGUGAGUGAAGAAGGUUUUCGGAUCGUAAAACUCUGUUGGUAGAGAAGAACGUUGGUGAGAGUGGAAAGCUCAUCAAGUGACGGUAACUACCCAGAAAGGGACGGCUAACUACGUGCCAGCAGCCGCGGUAAUACGUAGGUCCCGAGCGUUGUCCGGAUUUAUUGGGCGUAAAGCGAGCGCAGGUGGUUUAUUAAGUCUGGUGUAAAAGGCAGUGGCUCAACCAUUGUAUGCAUUGGAAACUGGUAGACUUGAGUGCAGGAGAGGAGAGUGGAAUUCCAUGUGUAGCGGUGAAAUGCGUAGAUAUAUGGAGGAACACCGGUGGCGAAAGCGGCUCUCUGGCCUGUAACUGACACUGAGGCUCGAAAGCGUGGGGAGCAAACAGGAUUAGAUACCCUGGUAGUCCACGC